CAAUAGCGUAUAUUUAAGUUGUUGCAGUUAGAAAGCUCGUAGUUGGAUUUCGGUUAAGAGCGACCGGUCCGCCGUUUGGUGUGCACUGGUUGGUUUUAACUUCCUGUAGAGGACGUGCUCUGGGUUUAACGACCUGGACUCGGAGUCUACGUGGUUACUUUGAAAAAAUUAGAGUGUUCAAAGCGGGCUUACGCUUGAAUAUUUCAGCAUGGAAUAACACUAUAGGACUCCUGUCCUAUUUCGUUGGUCUCGGGACGGGAGUAAUGAUUAAGAGGAACAGUUGGGGGCAUUCGUAUUUCAUUGUCAGAGGUGAAAUUCUUGGAUUUAUGAAAGACGAACUUCUGCGAAAGCAUUUGCCAAGGAUGUUUUCAUUAA
rnacentral:rRNA from 1 species